CAACUCAAAACAUGUUUCUCAACUAAUUCAAUUGACAUAAUGGAACGCAUCAAGAUCAAGAACAGAUUCUGAUUCAUCAACCAAAAAAGUGUAAGCAAGUUUUACUUGAAUUGAUAACCAGCACGAUUAUUCCAUUAUUUCUUCUUUUUCUUUUCCUUUUCCUUUUCCUCAU
rnacentral:ribozyme from 15 species